UUCUUGGAGGAUUGACAGAUUGAGAGCUCUUUCUUGAUUCGGUGGAUGGUGGUGCAUGUCCGUUCUUAGUUGGUGGAGCGAUUUGCCUGGUUAAUUCCUAUAACCAACGAGACUCUAGUCUAUUAAAUAGGUGCGCGGUUUUCUGCACCUUGCACCCUUCUCAGAGGGACAAACAGAGCAAUAACAUGUCUGAUGGCCUUAGAU
rnacentral:rRNA from 1 species